rnacentral:rRNA from 1 species
CAGCCGCCGCGGGAAUACGUAGGGGGCAAGCGUUGUCCGGAAUCAUUGGGCGUAAAGAGCGUGUAGGCGGCUCGGUAAGUCCGCUGUGAAAGUCCAGGGCUCAACCCUGGAAUGCCGGUGGAAACUGUCGAGCUAGAGUCCGGAAGAGGCGAGUGGAAUUCCUGGUGUAGCGGUGAAAUGCGCAGAUAUCAGGAGGAACACCAAUGGCGAAGGCAGCUCGCUGGGACGGUACUGACGCUGAGACGCGAAAGCGUGGGGAGCAAACAGGAUUAGAUACCCGAGUAGUCCCUGUCUCUUAUAU